rnacentral:rRNA from 1 species
GGCGAACGGGUGAGUAACGCGUUGGUGACCUGCCCCGAAGAGGGGGAUAACAGUUCGAAAGGACUGCUAAUACCCCAUGAGGUCUGUUUAGUUAGAGGUGAGCAGACGAAAGGAGAGAUCCGCUUUGGGAGGGGCCUGCGUCCCAUCAGCUAGUUGGUAGGGUAAAAGCCUACCAAGGCGAAGACGGGUAGGGGGCCUGAGAGGGUGAUCCCCCACACUGGCACUGAAACACGGGCCAGACACCUACGGGUGGCAGCAGUAGGGAAUAUUGCACAAUGGGCGAAAGCCUAAUGCAGCAACGCCGCGUGAGCGAAGAAGGCCUUCGGGUCGUAAAGCUCUUUUCGGGGAGAUGAGGAAGGACAGUAUCCCCGGAAUAAGACUCGGCUAACUACGUGCCAGCAGCCGCGGUAACACGUAGGAGUCAAGCGUUAUCCGAAUUCACUGGGCGUAAAGCGCGUGCAGGCGGUUCGAUAAGUUGGAUGUGAAUGCUCCUGGCUCAACUGGGAGAGGUCGUUCAAUACUGUUGGACUAGAGGGCGGCAGAGGGAGGUGGAAUUCCCGGUGUAGUGGUGAAAUGCGUAGAUAUCGGGAGGAACACCAGUGGCGAAAGCGGCCUCCUGGGCCGCUCCUGACGUUUAGACGCGAAAGCUAGGGGAGCGAACGGGAUUAGACACCCCGCUAGUCCUAGCUGUAAACGAUGUAGACUUGGUGUAGGUGGGGUAAAAGCUAUCAGUGCCGAAGCUAACGCGAUAAGUCUACCGCCUGGGGACUACGGCCGCAAGG